GCCGGUGACAAACCGGAGGAAGGUGGGGAUGACGUCAAAUCAUCAUGCCCCUUAUGACCUGGGCUACACACGUGCUACAAUGGACGGUACAAUGAGUCGCGAGACCGCGAGGUUUAGCUAAUCUCUUAAAGCCGUUCUCAGUUCGGAUUGUAGGCUGCAACUCGCCUACAUGAAGCCGGAAUCGCUAGUAAUCGUGGAUCAGCACGCCACGGUGAAUACGUUCCCGGGCCUUGUACACACCGCCCGUCACACCACGAGAGUUUGUAACACCCAAAGUCGGUGAGGUAACCUUUUGGAGCCAGCCGCCUAAGGUGGGAUAGAUGAUUGGGGUGAAGUCGUAACAAGGUAGCCGUAUCGGAAGGUGCGGCUGGAUCACCUCC
rnacentral:rRNA from 1 species